AAGUCGUAACAAGGUUUCCGUAGGUGAACCUGCGGAAGGAUCAUUAUCGUGCAACAGAGGCGCGAGGGCUGUCGCUGACUCGAAAAGGUCGUGCACGCCCGAGCGCUCUCACGCAUCCGUUUCACCCCUUUGUGCACCGCCGCGUGGGUCGUCCUCCCUCCGAGGGUGGGCGGCUUGCGUUUUUACACAAACCCCCACGUAACGUAACAUUAGAAUGUUUUUACCUUUUGCGGUGACACGCAAUCAAUACAACUUUCAACAACGGAUCUCUUGGCUCUCGCAUCGAUGAAGAACGCAGCGAAAUGCGAUACGUAAUGUGAAUUGCAGAAUUCAGUGAAUCAUCGAAUCUUUGAACGCACCUUGCGCCUCUUGGUAUUCCGAGGGGCACGCCCGUUUGAGUGUCGUGACAUCCUCAACCUUCUCGAUCUUUGCGAUCGGGGAAGGCUUGGACUUUGGGGGUUUUAUGCUGGCCUCUCCGGAAGCCAGCUCCCCUUAAAUGGAUUAGUGGGGUUCGCUUUGCCGAUCCUCGACGUUGAUAAGAUGUUUCUACGUCUUGGGUUGGGCACUGUCUUUCGGGAACCUGCUUCUAACCGUCUCGCGAGAGACGACGCGUUUGAACCUUGACCUCAAAUCGGGUGAGACUACCCGCUGAACUUAA
rnacentral:sRNA from 1 species